rnacentral:rRNA from 1 species
GCAGCGAAAUGCGAUAAGUAAUGUGAAUUGCAGAAUUCAGUGAAUCAUCGAAUCUUUGAACGCACCUUGCGCCCUUUGGCAUUCCGAAGGGCAUGCCUGUUUGAGUAUCAUGAAUACCUCAACUCUCAUGGCUUGCCAUGAUGAGCUUGGACUUUGGGGGUUUUGUUGGCCUGUGAGCCAGCUCCUCUUAAAUGAAUUAGCUUGCCAGUUUUUGGUGGCGUCACAGGUGUGAUAACUAUCUACGCUUGUGGUUUCCCCGCCAGGUAACCUUCAGCAAUGGAGGUUCGCUGGAGCUUAUAAACGUCUCUCCUCUGUGAGGACACAUUUGAACAUUUGAUCUCAAAUCAGGUAGGACUACCCGCUGAACUUAAGCAUAUCAAUAAGCGGAGGAAAAGAAACU